rnacentral:tRNA from 1 species
GGGCGGUUAGCUCAGUUGGUAGAGCGUGCGCUUCACAUGCGUAAGGUCAUAGGUUCAAGUCCUAUACCGCCCAC